AAGGGUUUUAUUUUGGGCUUAUCAGGCUGUGCAUCGGAUAAACGACUUUGGGAGUUUUCAGCCCCAGGCACACACAGAUCAAAAGCCGUUUCCCAAGCCGUAGAAACGCACUGAGAUUAAGGGAGAGAGAGGAUCGAGAGAGCUGAAGCUCAUCUCCCAUCUGAUAAUACUGCUGCCCCGGGUCGGGAUGCAGAAGAGAAACCGAGGCUACAAAUCACAGGAUGUGUGAAUAAACGCCAGCCAUUUAAAGUACGUAAACACUGGAGGAUUACGGCAAAGAAUACCACCUCAGACCUGUUAAGGAAUCAUAAAGGAGGAGAACAGCGUUAUUGAGGAAAGAAAGGCCUCAUGGGACACUAUGCAGGGUUAUAAUGGUUUUUCAUGCAUGUGUGUCACCACGACCUGGAGUUUUCAACCCACAGAUCACACGCAGUUGCGAUGAUGGCCACACACUUGGCUUUUUUCCGUAUGAACCUCUGAAGAACCAUCCUGCCACGUUACCAUGUGCAUAUCCACAAGAUUCAUGUGAUCCAUUUGGGCAAGUUCGUCUCUUACUAAAGUGUGAGCAAAUAUCAACCCGGAGAGGAGAAUGAGCUCUCAUUUAGGGCACAAGACAUCAAGAGCUCUAUUUUAUAUUUUGUACUCGUAAUUACGGUCUUUUCUUAGACGGACUGCUCCAGGGGGAAUCCAGACUCCCGUUGAGAUCGUAGAAAGAAAUUCAUAUUUUUAAUUUCUUCCCUUUUUGCUUGACUGUAUUCCUCCCACCAAAACUUCUUCCUUUUUUUUCUUGGUUUCUGUAGUUUGACGUCAUGCUCACAUGCACUUAUCCGCUGUGAUGUUUUGAGAUAUGAAUAAGCACUGUAUGAAUGCCUGAACUCAAAUCGCUGCUUCCUUUAAGGCUCUUUUCAGUGUAACACGGGGCUUACCAGAGAUUUGCACUAAAAGAGCUUUGCUGUCACUUGAUUUGUUUCCUUUUAUUGACCGAAUCUUGUUACAUUAAAGCCAUAUGAACAUUUUUUUUGAUUAAAAUAGAGCUAUUUUUAUAUUUACAGUAGAUCAUUA
rnacentral:lncRNA from 1 species